UUUCAAAAUUUAGUAUACUCCUAUGAACAAAAUUUGGAGCAUAUUUGUUUCUCUCUACCUGAUUGCUCCAGAAUUUGGAAGCUAUUUAAAAGCAAACCAGGGGCUACAGACAGGCCCCUUUUCUGCAAGUUGCUGCAGUUUUCUAGUAGUCCACUCUAGAGCCUGUUUACCUGUCU